AAUGAACGCUGGCGGCGCGCCUAAUACAUGCAAGUCGAGCGAGAAGACGUAGCAAUACGUUUGUAAAGCGGCGAACGGGUGAGGAAUACAUGGGUAACCUACCCUCGAGUGGGGAAUAACUAGCCGAAAGGUUAGCUAAUACCGCGUACGCUCCUUGGACUUCGGUUCAGGGAGGAAAGCGAUACCGUGGGUAUCGCGCUCUUGGUUGGGCUCAUGUCCUAUCAGCUUGUUGGGAGGUAACGGCUCACCAAGGCUUCGACGGGUAGCUGGUCUGAGAGGACGAUCAGCCACACUGGCACUGCGACACGGGCCAGACUCCUACGGGAGGCAGCAGUAAGGAAUAUUGCGCAAUGGGCGAAAGCCUGACGCAGCGACGCCGCGGUGGGGGA
rnacentral:rRNA from 1 species